rnacentral:rRNA from 1 species
GAUGAACGCUGGCGGCGUGCUUAACACAUGCAAGUCGAACGGAAAGGCCCAAGCUUGCUUGGGUACUCGAGUGGCGAACGGGUGAGUAACACGUGGGUGAUCUGCCCUGCACUUCGGGAUAAGCCUGGGAAACUGGGUCUAAUACCGGAUAGGACCACAUUUUGGAUGGUGUGGUGGAAAGUUUUUCGGUGUGGGAUGAGCUCGCGGCCUAUCAGCUUGUUGGUGGGGUAAUGGCCUACCAAGGCGUCGACGGGUUGCCGGCCUGAGAGGGUGUACGGCCACAUUGGGACUGAGAUACGGCCCAGACUCCUACGGGAGGCAGCAGUGGGGAAUAUUGCACAAUGGGCGCAAGCCUGAUGCAGCGACGCCGCGUGGGGGAUGACGGCCUUCGGGUUGUAAACUCCUUUCGCUAGGGACGAAGCGUUAUGUGACGGUACCUGGAGAAGAAGCACCGGCUAACUACGUG